UUUAUGUUCGGUCACAAUGGUAUAAUGUGUGUACUGAAAUAACAUAUAUCGUUUUUUUUCCCCUUGAAAUAUCAGCUUCAGAAUCAUUCUGAUGGUAAGGAAGAAAUUCUGUGAAAAACAACUGCUUUAUGACAGUGAUAUAUUUGUGACAUUCUCAUCCACAGAAUUCGAAAUGAUUACUAAAACUAUAGUCAUAGCUAUAGUUAUAGUCAUAGCUGAGGUCUGUUCUCAGCAAGAAUGAUAAGUGUGGACUUCUCUAUUCUCAUGAAACCAGAUAUGAGCAAGUCUCAUAAUCUGCUAAAGCAUCUCUUGACUGAUGAUGAAGGUCUGACAGCAGAGAUCUACAUCGAUGCGGUUCAGACUCUCAUCAUGGAGAUCGGAGCCCUUAUCCUCAUGGGCUUCAGUGAGUGACCGUGGCAGUCAUUGAUUUAAGUCUUGAAGCCUUUAAUACAAUAAUAAUAUACUCUUCUCAAUGUUGCUGUGAAGGUGUUUUGGAGGUUGGCGGAUUUCAAGUUGUCCUGGAUAAGUAUUCUCAGGUGUUCUGACCAGGUAAAGAACCAGCUUAUUAUUAUUAUUUUUUUGUUAAGGUGGUUUGUGCAUGCUAAAGGAGGCUCUUUACUCGCUGCUUACCUCUUAAGUUGUGCCCUUCUUCAUGAUGGUGAUUCCAGGCGUGAUCAGCAGGAUACUUUACCCCUGGGUGUGUCCGAAAUACACCAAAGUUUAAGACCUCUGAACAUCUAAAAGCACGAUUUGUUAUCUUAAAGUGUUUGUGAAUUGUAGACGAGGUAGGCUGUGGAGACCCAAAUGUGUGUAAACCAGUUUGUGGGAAUCCGGUGGGCUUCUUGGGACAUUGCUUAAACCAGACUGCUAAUGGAGCUUCUCCUGCAGGUCUGAGGGGUUUAAUGAUGGCUGUGGUGUUGGCUGCUCUCUGACUUCCAUAUUUGACAGUUCCAGCACUAUUUUCAUCCAUAGACCUUUGAGGAAACAUCUGCCGCACUGCCUCCGAGUGGGAACUCCUGAUUGUGGGAAGGUAUGCCAUCAACAAGUUGUUAUCACGUAGAUUUUAAAGGACAGUUCAUCUUUUUCUCCAUCCUGUAAAGGGCUAUUUGCAUUUAAAUGUAACCAGAAAGACAAACAUUGGACCGUUUACUUGGAAAUUAUAGAUGGGUCGAUGUCAACCUCCAUUAAUGGAUAGAUGUUACAUUUUUGAUGGAAAUGAAAAUUGGGUUGACAUUCAAUUUUAUGUUGGCUUUGCAAACUUGCGAAGAGGUGGUCCAUUUCUGGAAACAUUUCAGAAUUUCUCGAGACUUUACAGUAUUUUUUGGAAACUUUCAGAAAAUCUUGACUUUUUUUAGUAAGUGUCUGAAAGUUUUUGAUCCCUUUGCAACCCUACUUAGAUCAACUUGCAUUUGGACAGACUCCUGGUUAAUUAAAACUAAUGAAAUAUCAGUGUCUAAUGAUGUUGUAAUCUAAUGUUGUGUGGAUAUUAACAUUAUGAUGUUUUAGCAUGUUGGUUUUUGAUUGCCAUAGGCUCACGAUUGACUGUCAAUGUUUAAUGUCAAUGUGAUGUUUGAAAGAGAUAGAAUUUUGGUAACAAAAAUAUCAACAUCAACAGUAUUUGUCAAUGUUCUCCAUCAAAUUGACACUGGCAUUAGACAUUGUCCUGACACAGAAUGGCUGUUUACAUUUAAAAGUACUCAGAAAUGCUAUAACAUCGGACAGAUGUUGAUUUGGUUGGAUGUCAGAACUUAUAUUCAACCAAAUAUCAACAUCUUACAAUGUUGGGUGUCUAGAACAAAUAAAAUCCUUCUUUUGUUGGUGAGCGUUUGUUUCUGGUAAAUCAACCUAAUUUUGUCAUUCUACGACUGCAAAUGCUAAAUUGUUGUGCUCUUGUAAAGCUGGACUGUUUCAGCUGUGUGUGUGUGUGUGUUGGUGUCAGUGCUGUGGAUUCCUCUGGUUCAGGCCAGCCAGGGAGGGCAGCUCUUCAUCUACAUCCAAUCUAUCAUCAUCAGAGUAUUUGAGGUGACCUUUUUUUGUGGAAAUUUUAGUUUGAAUACACUACUUAUUUAUACUACAAAAUGGCACAGAAUAGUGCAUAAGAAUGCGAUUUAUGACACUUGGUAAUCAGUCAUUCUCAUUCAUUUUUCUGUUGUGUUGGGUGCAUUCUGGAGUCUGAUAGUGGGCAUGGUGGUAGGCUGUAACUAAGUUAGCAACUUUGUUGGUUGCAAUACAAUUUCCCAUUGCCAACCAAGGUGCUAACAGGUUAGCAACUAUGCUUUUAGGAAAACGCACCCCAGAUUAGAAAACAUUUCUGGCUUCCAUACUGUAGUAUGGAGAAAAAGUAUCAUAGGAAUCAUCGGCUACCUUCAAAUAAUUGGUUACAGGCAUUUUCCAGAAUUACAAUUAUUGGGUGAAUUAUCUGUUUAAUUUGUGAAAUAAACUCAUAUAAAUGAUUUGGUAUUUUCCAGAUCAGUCGUUUGACGUGGUACACACACGAUCCUGUGACAGAAAGCGGUUGUGGUUUCAGUUUUCCAGACGAUCGAGGAUGACCCACAAUACUCAAAAGACAUGGAAAAUAAUGCAUAUCCUUCAAAAGAGGGUACUUUGACCACUCCAUACGCAGGCACAGAUAAAUGAUGUUGUAAAUUGUAUAAUUUAUCCCGCUCUAUUUCUUAGAUAGUCCAGUUUUCCAGCAGAGGGAGACAAAGUCAUUUCAUAUUUUUCAAUGUUUUUAAAUGAGGUGAAAGAAAAAAGAAAAAAAAAAUGGAGGAACAGAAUUAUUUGUAAGCAUACAAUGACUCUAAGAAUUACUUAAAUAUCUACAUCACAAUUAAUAUCUGAGCAUCAUUGAUUUAGAUAAAAUGCACUAAAUCUCCUAAUUAUAUUCAUGUAGAUAAUACUUGUUUUCAUGUAAUUCUGAAUGCAUUAUUUGUCAGCAGACUCCAGUAGUUGUGCGUCCAGCAAUGCGGGUUCAUCUAAACUUAAAUCUGUUCUGGAUCUGUGGAAUGGAGAAGCAGAGAGGAGAGGAAGACCCCUGUAUAAGACACCUGGUAAACACCAAGCUCAUCGUCUGUCUGUCUAUCAGUGGCCGUGUUUCUCUUCGCUUACUGGCCACAGUCACUUGUCCUUUAUAAUGUAUUGUUUAUUGUGACUGCAGUGAAAGAAAAUCUCCACGCAGUAUGUACUUAAUAAUAAACCAAUAUUCUUAUUUAUAAUAUAUCAUCAUAAAUCAGUUGUUUCUUUUUUGCAACCAACACUUCAACAAUUUGUCCCUGUUGUUUCUGCAACUUAAGCCGUAUUUCAAAAAACAACUGGUUUUGAUUUCUGUAAGCAUUUUAUUAGAUAUAUAAUCAGAAAACAGUUGCUGUGUUGAAAAACUGAAUGUGUACCAACAUUUAUUCACUGGAGGCACUGGAGAACAUGAAGUAGAAUUCAGAUGGAGGGAAUGUGCACACAGAUGUACAAAAGGGGAUGAAACCGAAAUAAAAAUCAAUAUGUACAAUUAAGAGCCAAUUAAAGAUAACAUAUCCACAGAAAUAAAGACACAUACUCACUCUUGAAAAGACUAAAUGACUUUGGCUUUCUAGCUGACGGUUCCUGAGCUUGACUGAUCCAUUAACCCUUUCAUUCACAUUUAUGUUGUCAGUGCUGUUUUUGCAUUGCAUCCAACAUGAAAUAACCCCCCCUAAAGCUCUGACACAGGAUCAUACGCUUUUUUAUAUAUAUAAAAAAGCAUCUUUGGUCAUUUUGGAGAAUAAAGUAUUUCAUAAUAGUACACGCAGGGUUUAUUUAGUAUAUACACCACUAAAGUAAACCCUGUAAAAGACAGUUACAAUUGUUAAAAACUACUAAACUAAUACAAAAAUGACUGUCAUGUCAUAACACUACAUUGCAGUCAGUAUUGCACCCCAGGAAAAAUACUUAAAAAUACAAAUCAUAUUCAUUUAUUAAAUCAACUGUACCUGUAUAACCAUUAUGUUUCUUAAGCUUUUUUUUUUUUUUUUUUUU